rnacentral:misc_RNA from 1 species
AAGUCGUAACAAGGUUUCCGUAGGUGAACCUGCGGAAGGAUCAUUAUUGAUUGGUCGAAAGACCUUAUCAGAUUCUACCACCUCUGUGAACUGUUGACCUCCGGGUCUAUUCAAACAUCAGUGUAAUGAACGUAAAUCAUAUAACAAAACAAAACUUUCAACAACGGAUCUCUUGGCUCUC